rnacentral:rRNA from 1 species
GACGAACGCUGGCGGCGUGCUUAACACAUGCAAGUCGAGCGGUAAGGCCCUUUCGGGGGUACGACGAGCGGCGAACGGGUGAGUAACACGUGGGUGACCUGCCCUCAGCUCUGGGAUAAGCCUGGGAAACUGGGUCUAAUACCGGAUAUGACUCCAUGACGCAUGUUGUGGGGUGGAAAGCCUUGUGCGGCUGGGGAUGGGCCCGCGGCCUAUCAGCUUGUUGGUGGGGUGAGGCCUACCAAGGCGACGACGGGUAGCCGGCCUGAGAGGGCGACCGGCCACACUGGGACUGAGACACGGCCCAGACUCCUACGGGAGGCAGCAGUGGGGAAUCUUGCGCAAUGGGCGAAAGCCUGACGCAGCGACGCCGCGUGAGGGAUGACGGCCUCGGUUGUAA